ACUGGUUAUACUGGGACCGGAGAGGCUCGGUGGACUGGUUAUACUGGGACCAGAACGGCUGAGUGGACUGUACUGGGACCAGAGAGGCUCGAUGGACUGGUUAUACUGGGACCAGAGAGGCUCGGUGGACUGGUUAUGUUUUGCAGCAGAGAAGUUGAACCUCCUGGAGACUCACCUGAUGACGUUCAGACAGGUUACUGAACCUGUCUCUGAUCUCUGACCUGGUCCCAGAGCAGGACGUGAUCGACGUCAUCAUCCACGUUGGCAGAAACCCGCAAGGUCGAAACCUCGCCUGGAAGAACUUCAGAGAAAAGUGGGACAUCCUCAACGCCCGUUAUGGUGAAGCGUUGUUCACGAAUUCGAAGCUCAUCGGUGGGAG